ensembl:Y_RNA Y_RNA Y RNA
GGCUGGUUUGAGUGCAGUGGUAUUUUCAAUUAAUUGAUCACAGCUAGCUACAGAUUUCUUGGUUCUUUCUCCACUCCUAUUGCUUCACUUGACUAGCAUUAA